UAAUUGAAGAGUUUGAUCAUGGCUCAGAUUGAACGCUGGCGGCAGGCCUAACACAUGCAAGUCGAGCGGCAGCGACAACAUUGAACCUUCGGGGGAUUUGUUGGGCGGCGAGCGGCGGACGGGUGAGUAAUGCCUGGGAAAUUGCCCUGAUGUGGGGGAUAACCAUUGGAAACGAUGGCUAAUACCGCAUGAUAGCUUCGGCUCAAAGAGGGGGACCUUCGGGCCUCUCGCGUCAGGAUAUGCCCAGGUGGGAUUAGCUAGUUGGUGAGGUAAGGGCUCACCAAGGCGACGAUCCCUAGCUGGUCUGAGAGGAUGAUCAGCCACACUGGAACUGAGACACGGUCCAGACUCCUACGGGAGGCAGCAGUGGGGAAUAUUGCACAAUGGGCGCAAGCCUGAUGCAGCCAUGCCGCGUGUAUGAAGAAGGCCUUCGGGUUGUAAA
rnacentral:rRNA from 1 species